GGCCUCUGUAGCUCAUUUGGUUAGAGCGCUGCACCGGAAUCGCAGGGCCGUAGGUUCAAUUCCUACCAGAUCG
rnacentral:tRNA from 1 species